rnacentral:tRNA from 2 species
GCCCUUGUAGCUCAGUUGGUAGAGCAUCUGAUUUGUAAUCAGGCGGUCGGGAGUUCGAGUCUCUCCGGGGGCACCA